rnacentral:rRNA from 1 species
AUUGAACGCUGGCGGCAGGCCUAACACAUGCAAGUCGAGCGGAUGAAGGGAGCUUGCUCCUGGAUUCAGCGGCGGACGGGUGAGUAAUGCCUAGGAAUCUGCCUGGUAGUGGGGGAUAACGUCCGGAAACGGGCGCUAAUACCGCAUACGUCCUGAGGGAGAAAGUGGGGGAUCUUCGGACCUCACGCUAUCAGAUGAGCCUAGGUCGGAUUAGCUAGUUGGUGGGGUAAAGGCCUACCAAGGCGACGAUCCGUAACUGGUCUGAGAGGAUGAUCAGUCACACUGGAACGUGGACACGGUCCAGACUCCUACGGGAGGCAGCAGUGGGGAAUAUUGGACAACGGGCGACAGCCUGAUCCAGCCAUGCCGAGUGUGUGAAGAAGGUCUUCGGAUUUUAGAGCACUUUAAGUUGGGAGGACGGGCAGUAAGUUAAUACCUUGCUGUUUUGACGUUACCAACAGAAUAAGCACCGGCUAACUUCGUG